GUCCGCGCCCCGCCGGCGCCUCUGCGCGCGCUCUCACUCCCAGCCGGGAGCUGUGGCCGCGCAGGUCCCACCCGCGCCCAGGGGCCGGAGAUGCAGCCGGGCGCUGCGCUGAACCUGCGCCUGUGGCUCUGCCUUGGACUCCUCCACAGCCCAACCUCCGCUCCCGGUUAACCACCCGGGGCCCGCUGCGCACCAGGGGCCUGUGGUGAGACCGCACCGACGGGGCGGGCGGAGGGACGGGGCAGUUUGGGAACCUAGGUGUGAGGACGCCCGCUGGAACCAGGGAAGUCAUGGGAGCCGGGGGCUAGGGGCCCGGACCGCGGGGAGCAGGAAAGAAUGGGUGAGGACUGCAGCCGGGUCACGAACAGUGUGGCGGAGCUAUGACCAGGUUCCAGUCUUUUUGUUUUGUUUUGUUUUGUUUUGUUUUGUUUUGUUUUGUUUUGUUUUUCGAGACAGGGUUUCUCUGUGUAGCCCUGGCUGUCCUGGAACUCACUUUGUAGACCAGGCUGGCCUCGAACUCAGAAAUCCGCCUGCCUCUGCUUCCCGAGUGCUGGGAUUAAAGGCGUGCGCCACCACGCCCGGCUCAGGUCCCAGUCUUAAGUCUACGGUCCGGUCCGUAGUGAAAUGCAUCCUUAGCCUGGAUUCUUCAGGUCCUUACUCAGUCCCCAGGAAGUCCAGGGCUCACUGCGUCUGGGUCCCGAUCCUCCAACGUGAAUCAUUUCCCCAUUGAUCCACACCCGACCCCGCACUUGGGUGCGCACUUCCCGACGCCUUGUGUCUACACUGGAGAUCGGUAACCUGAGGUCCCCCAGAGGGCGCUCCGGACGGGCGUCUACCUUCUCCUGGGCUAGGACUGAGGACUUGGGACACCCCACCCCGCACCCCACUGCAGGAACCUUACAAAUGAUCCUAGAUUCAGGUUGAAACCUAAGCCGAAUCUUGAGUCCCUAGUUUCAGACCGAUCCACGUCGAGGUGAAGGGCCAGGGCGUCCCGGGAUGAGGGGAUCUCCGGAUUAGAAAGGAUAGAAGAUUUGAAUCAUAAAGCAGAGGCUGCAAGGAGAGCCUUGGGAACAGGGAACGGAAGGUUCAAGUUUGUGUUGAGAGCUUGGCUCUGCGGUGCUAAAGAGUCUCUGGAAGCAGAGGAGCUGUGUGGAGGGGCCGGGAAGGAAGCACUGGGGAUUAGGCGGGGGAUGAGCCCGGCAUCCGCUCAGGAGCCGCUGUCCCUGGAAACCCAAGGUGACUGGGUCAUCACAGAGCCCCUGAUGCUUGACGGAGACGUGCAGAAAGACCUCGGAGAGAGAAACCUGUAUGUCUGUAUGCCGUAGAAAUUGACUUUGAAUGUUUCAUCUUUUAUUCCCACAAGAGUAUGAACUCUUUUUUAUAUAAGGGAGGACCUUUGGGACGUGUAACGGAGCCGGCAGGGAGGGAACUAAUUAAUGCAAGUUUUGAUAUUGGAGCCUCGCUCUCAGCUCGCACCCUGUAGCACCCUGUACGGUCAGACAGCGAAGCUGAGCGAGAUGUGAUUGAAUCUGUGUAGACACUGAAGGAUGACUGGCCCUUUGGCUGUUUCUUGCUCCACUGCCCCAACCCUGGAUAACGCUUCUCGCCAGUGUUCAGGAUAUUUUUGUUAAGGGAGUGAAUGUGUGGAAGAAGUAAACAGGGCUCUAGCUGGGCAAGAUGGAUGAGGAAUGAGACUUCCUUGGGCCCAGGAGACCUCCCACAUUCAGCCAAGAAAGGUAUCUGAGGCUCCGGGAGGUUGCAUUGGCUGGAAUGUAAGCUGUGCAAAUUCUUUCCCCUCCCCAUUGCUAGAAUCCUGGGGUGAGCGGUCUGAAAGGAAGACAGGUACAUUGCAGAGAUGCAAGGAGCAGCAGGCAGAGGUCCGUAGAAAUGAAGGAAGGUGGGAGUGCUUCCUGAAGUAGGCACCCAUGACCACAUGGGCUGUGAAGAGGAGAGGAGAUAGUUUGAAAGGGUGGCCUAGCAUGGGUGGGGAAUGUAGGGAGUGGGGCUGCCAAUGUAAAUAGACCAAGCCUCCCUGAGCCGUGUGCCUGGUCCCACUCACUCCUGGUGAAAACCGAUCCAGGAGCUCCCAGCCUGGUGGGGGAUGCUGUGGCAGGAACAAAUCUCUAAGUGCAGAAGAUGGGGUGAAUAGCUCCGUGGUAGGGUAUAGAAAGAAAAAAAUCCCUAAGAGAAGGCAAACGGGAGUAGGAGACCUGUGUGAAGCCUGGGGACCCUAAAUGAAGCCCUCAAGGGCAACAGACUCACACUUUAGUCUUAGCUGUGCCCCAAAGUCCUUAAGGUAUGUCCUGAGAUCUCCUUUCCCCACUGAGCACCAGUGUCCUGCGUGUGUUCAGGGGCAGGCAGGGAGGGAGGGGCUCCUUGGACUUGGGCUUGGCUUGGUGUCCUGAUCUAGUUCUACAACCCAGCAGGAUCCCUGUAGAAAAGGGCAGAUGGCAGCUUUAAUAAACUCUGUCUCAGGACUUUAGUCUGGAGGGAAGCUAGCAGGUGACACAGAGGGACUGCUGGCUUCAUCUAAUGAUGGUCUGCCUUGCCAUGGUCUACAUCAAACGUGGCUGCCUAUCUCUCUGAUAUUCCUGCUCUUAGGUAUAAUCCAGGUCCAAGACAGUGGGAUCUACCUGUUUCUGUGGCCUUCUAGUCCUAGCUCAGAGCUCUGGGGACUGAAAUGUAAAUGUCUCUCAGAAGCAGUGUAGCAAAAGGGACCCUGAUCCCUCAUCAAAGCCAGGCCUGGAACAGUGUAGUGAAAAGUCUGGCAAACUUCCCAGCAUGUCAGAGAAAGAGACUGUGACUCUGUGCAGCUACAGCCACACACACACAUCACCUGCUCAGGAUGGCAGGAAGGGCAGGGGCACAACCCCAUCCUGCAGGGGUUUUCCAAGUGCCAGACUGAAGUGGCAUUGGAUUUCUGAAGCAUGAGGAUGAACGUGCUCAGAGACACCCAGCUACUGCCUGUAGGCUUCAUAGGAAGCCAGUUGUCACCACCACGACCCUUUACUGCAGUUUCUCAUGUUGUGGUGACCCCCCCACACACACCCCAACCAUAAAAUUAUUUUAGUUGCUAUUUCAUAGCUGUAAUUUGUUACUGUUGUGAAUUGUAAUGUAAAUAUCUGAUAUGCAGAUGGUCUUAGGAGCCCCCCCCCCCAAGGGGUCACAACCCACAGGUUGAGAACCACUGGUAUAGCGACUUCUGGAAGGAGACUGCAGAAUGUCAGUGAAGGGUAUUCUGAGCAGGGUGAGGAGCACUUCACAUGAUACCCAGAGACAGGAAUGCCAGACAGAGACAGGUGAAUGGUCAGAUGAGGCUAGCUAGAUCUUGGGGGUGGUUGGCUAGGGAGUGACGGAAGAGCUGGCAGGAAUGACAUAGAUGACUGUCCAGGCGAAGCAGGGACCUACAAGUGAAUUGGACAUUGGGAAGUAGGAAGAGGGAGGCUGUGCCCCAGGACUCUGGCUGAAGCAAACGGGUGGGUGAUAAGAUCAUCCGCCUGGGGAGGACCCCAGGAAGAGGAGCUAGUGUGGAGAAGCAAGGUCUCCAGGUGUUACUAUCAAGUGGACUUUCUUGAAGAUUCCAGUUCAUGCAACCAGAUCAGAUAAGGAAGGAAUGAAAUGGGGAAACUGGAGGGCAACCACAGAGGAGGGAAGGAAGAAAGUUCUCUGCGUCUAGUUUAAGGUUUGGUGUUUUCCUCUGCCGCUCUGUUGUCUCUCCGCCGGGGCUUGGCUUUCACCCCACAGCUUUUGGGAAGUUCCUGGGAGUGAAAGGCAGUGGGGAGAUGUCCCCAAAGAUCCUCUUGCACUCUGUCCGGACAUCUCUGAUAGAGAAUCAGCCAGCAUGUCCCAGCCGGAGCCAGGGAUUGCUGAGUUUCGGUCCCUUUCAGACACUGGCUUCCUCUGGGAUCUCAGUUUUCUGGUCACACUAAGGGGACACGUCUGGGAACAGGAAGGUGCCUGUUUGGCAUUCAUUGCUGGAGGAGGUUCAGAGGCUCAGGCUUAGAGCUCAUGCCCUGCCCCACUGGGCGGUGCCAAUAGCAGUCACGCCCCCUGCCCUUGCGCCUCAGCCUGCCACCCUGUCCCUGGGCAAGCACAGGUCCUGGUGGCAAGUUGGGAAGCCCUCUGCCACGUGGACGGCAAGGUCAGCAGGGGUUCAUGGGAAAGGACUUGUCGGCCACAAAAGAGACAUCCUGCCUGCAUUUCCCUCUUCCUGAGGCAGGAGCUGGUGGCCCCGAUUUAGCAACACUGGGGGGCCACCUCUGAGCCAGCUGGACUGUGUGAGAAAGUGUCAGCUGAUGAGCAGAGCCCUAGCCCCAGGGGUGUCCAGGGCAACUGACUGGGACAGCUGGUGAAACCACAGCCAUCCCAGUGCUGGGAACUCAGCACGUGCCAAGGUCCCCUCCAUCCUCUCCAGCACCCCCAAAAAGUACAGAAGCAGCCUGUACUCCCGACCCCAUCCCUGACUCCUAAUGUCCAGCACCUUCCAGAUGUUUGUUCUGAUACUUCCUCGAAGAACUUCUCUGAAACACAGAUCUGAAUCUCCCAGAAACCCUGAAACAUAAGCUAGUGGAGCAGACUUGCCUUCUGGAAUCCGAGGGCAUCCGAGCCUAAGAGAUACCCAGCCUGCACCCACCUAGCCCCACAAGUCCCAGUUUGCAUCCACUCAGAAUCACAGGCACCCAACCUACACCCAUUGUAUUCCUAACCCAGUACUGAGCCUUUCCUGCAUCAGAUAGGCCCCUGGAGGACUACUGGGGUCCACCAGGGUGUGUGGGGGGUCUUAUUCCCAUCCUCUGUGUGCCCAGGAGUAUGAGUCCAGGCUUCCAGGAGGGCUUAGGAAGAGCCUGGCGUACCAAGUUCAAAGCUUUCCUAUGUGAGGUUCAUAUAUUUUAAGUCACAUCCCCAAAAGCACACAUAAGUGUGUGCACACAUGCACGCACACAUGCACUUGCGUGCGCGUGCGCACGCACACACACACAUGCACACACACUUGAUGUGUCUAGAAGUGAGCUAUACAACUCAGUAUAAAAUUAUUCAUCAAAUUGCUUCACAUCAAAGCAUAUGGAGAGCUUACUCUUGUGAUGUAGGCAUCAUUGUUCGCAUUUUGGAGAUUUGGAAAUUAAGGCCAAAAGGGUGAAUGGCUCACUAGAUGUUAGAUGCCAGGGUGAUUUGGCUAUAACAAGAAAAUAACAGGUGUCUAUUCCAAGGCAACAUAGAGACCAAAGAGAUAAAGGGCAAGUGGGGUGUGGGAAGCCACAUGUGCAGUUGCAGAGUGGCACUGACUACUGCUGGCCACCACGCAUAAGUUUGGACAAACAACCAAUGUGUACAUAUGCAGUAAAGUUUUUUGCAAAGACACUGCCUGGCCCGGGCAUGAUAAUGAGGCUUUGAGAAUAUAACCAAUCAGAUGUGAGACAUGCAAAUGAGGUAUGAUAAUAAGGCUCUGUGAGGUACAGAGAGAGAGAGAGAGUAGCCAAUCAGAUGAGGAACAUGCAAAUGAGGCGUAGUGCAUAACCAAUCUGGGUGUGAGACACGCCUCUCCUAGGCCUAUAAAAGCAGCACCAGUUCUGGGCUCGGGGUCUCUUUGCCUCUGCAAUCAAGCUCUCCCAAUAAAUGUGUGCAGAAGGAUCCUGUUGCAGCGUCUUUACUGCUGGCCAGUCCGGCGCGCGCAAGAAGUGGUGCCGAAAACCCGGGACAAGAAACAUCUUCAGGCACAAGCGAAGACCCCCUGCUACAGGGAGGAUUCAGAACUGCAUCACGGGGAAGGAGCGAUUAAUAAAGGUUCCCGCAAAACAGACUGCUGAGAAGGAUCCGGCGUGGAUUCAGAACUCUUCAGCUGGGGAACGGUGAUAAUGAAGUGUUCCUGCAAAACAGACUGCUGAGAAGGAUCCGACUGCGUGAAUUCAGAACUCUUCAGCUGAGGAACGGUGGUACCGGGUGAAGAAAAUCCACUUUGGGUCCCGACGCGACUGACAAGGACCGUGAAAGAGCAAGAUGAACCCCAAGAUGAUUCUCCUGCUCCUGAUGAUUGAGACCAGGAUAAGUAUACCUUUGUGGGCCAUAGUAAGAUCAUGGCCAGUACCUUUACUGGUACAUUCCAAUUCUUCUACCUUGCCUUUAAUUUUUGCAACGGAAUGUUAUUUGGAUGCGCCUUGUGCACAACAAACUCCUCAAGAGCCACAGGUGUAUAAUAGUACUAGUUUUCAUUUGAAUUAUACACUAUGCUUUGUGCAUAAUGUGGAUAAACCUUUUACACCCUGUAUAUUUUUAAAGAAAAAGAUUAUCUUUAAUUGGGCAGAUCCCAUUAGCCAAAAUAAGGUGAGCUCUGGAGUGUUGUUUAAUGCUUUAACGCAAGUUGCUCAAGGAGUGCAAUCAGGCUCAGGUGAUGUUGAAAAUAAUAUAACUUCACCUAUAAACAUCACCACUAUUAUGAUAAAGGGAAAGGUGACCAUUCCCAAAAGAUCGCGAUGGCCUGUUGGCAAUGCUACUGCUAUACGCAGCAUGCCUUGGUGUCAUCCGGACCUCGCAUUUCCUAUAGUUUUUUCACCUUGUCAAUCAAAAAUUUUUCCUCGGAAAGAAAUAGCAAAGGGUUUUGUUUUGUCACCCCCACUAGAUUUUGCUGUAAUGAACGAUAAAGGAGAUGCUACAGGGAAAGAAAAUAUUUGGCCAUAUUACCAAUGGAUUUUAAGCAAUGAGGCAGGUGCUAGUACCAGUCUGUCAGCCUUUGCAUUGCUGACUGGAACCUUUCAUGAGAUAUUGAAUGUUUCUGCCACUCUUUCCAAUACCUCUACUCAUUUAGAUAAUGUGACAACUAAUAGAAUUAUCAGAAAUAUGACUACUUCUCCAGUAGAAGUUUGUAUCAAUCCUCCAUUUUUCUUUAUAUUGGCUGAAUUUCAAAAUAAUACAGAAUGGUUAGAUUGUACAAAUGUCACUUGUUUUUUGACGCAAUGCUGGAAUGGAACCAAAUUCUUAGCCUUAGUGGUUCAUCUACCAAUCUUUGUCCCUGUGCCUGUUGAGGCAGAUCCAGAGAAGUUCCCAAUAAUGAGUCUUAUUCGGCAAAAGAGAGGUUGUGGAAUCACAGCUGCCAUUGUUACAGCCAUUGUGGUGUCCGCGGCAUCAGCAGUUACCGCAGGAACUGCUAUGGCCCAUCAAAUUAAUACUGCUGACACCAUAAGUCAGAUAGCAGAAAAAUUGUCUGAAGCAUUGCUUACCCUGCAAAGGGUGGAUUCUCAUAUCGCCUCAGGGUUAAUGUUAGUGAAUCAGAGAGUGGAUAUUUUACAACAUGAUAUGGAACAGAUGAUGGAUGUCAUACAAAUGAGUUGUGUGGCAUCCACAUCGCAUGUAUGCAUUACUCCCAAUAGGUAUAUUAAUAAUUCUUUUAUUAAAAGUACAGACCUAUCGAAUUACCUGAAGGGGAACUGGUCGCAGGAGCUGGAGAGGUUGCAGACAAGGCUGCAUAUACAGAUCCUGAACCUUAAUGGGACCAGAGUGGAACCAGUGACCCUCGGAGACUUUACCUCUUGGCUUACCUCUGCUUUUUCUUACUUUAAGGAAUGGGUGGGAGUGAUGUUGUUUGGUGCUGCCAUAUGCUGUGGACUGGUGUUCAUGCUCUGGUUGGUAUACAAAUUCAGAACCCAACAAAAACGUGACAAGGUGAUUAUAACUCAGGCACUUUUAGCUAUUGAAAAUGGCUCCUCCCCUGAAAUUUGGUUAUCCAUGCUCAAGAAUUAGUUGGCAUCUGAGUUCUCUACUCUUGCACUCCACGGCACUGAGAUGAGAGAGACUCAACGAUCAUUGAUCAGCCCUUGCACAUCACUGAGGUUUCCUCAUUGCAAGCGAUAGAGUGAUCAUGAUUUCACCACUAAUUCAUUUUUUGGCUGGUCUCUUUUGCAGAGUUCGCCCUAGGUCAUUUAGCAGUUAUUGUCACACAGCACUGCGGUAUCCAGAGAUGGGCAACUUUCCUCGUGCUCAGUCCAACCUAAGACAUGGGGCCCGGUGGCGAUAGGGUUACCCUAUGACGGGUCCUGCUGUUCCUGGAAUCCAAGCCGACUGCAGAGUUUUUAAAACAAGGACUCCUCAUGCUUUCAAACUGUGACACCUAGCAGAUUCAACAUGAGAUAGACCACAAUUAAGGCAAAUAUGCCAGCGCUUCAUAAAGCUUUGGGUUACUUUGUGGGCUCAAAUGACUUCAAAGUGCAUGCUCUGAUUGGAAGCAUUGAGCUGUCUUCUGUUUUGUGAGAGUGACAAUCUAUGAGCAGCUUCAACACCGCCUUAGAAGGUGGCUUCAUUUUGAUGGGCUUCUCAGACUGGCCUCAUCUGGAACAUAUCUUUUUUGUCUUCAUUUCAAUGUUCUAUUUCCUAACCAUCUUUGGAAACUUCACCAUCAUCACAAUUUCACGAAUGGAUCGUCGACUACAAACACCAAUGUACUUCUUCCUUAACAACCUCUCUUUCCUGGACCUCUGCUACAACACCAGCAUUGUACCUCAGCUUCUUGUCAAUAUUUCUGGAAUUGACAAGACCAUGAGCUAUGCUGGGUGCAUGACCCAGUUCUUCAUAGUGCUCUUACUGGGUGGAACUGAGUGUAUGCUCCUUGUGGUGAUGGCUUUCGACCGCUAUGUCGCUGUGUGUCAUCCACUACACUACACCAGCAUUAUGCACCCCCUUCUCUGCCAUGCAUUGGCCAUCUCCUCCUGGGUGGGAGGCCUUGUGAACUCUCUGACUCAGACAAGCCUCAUCAUGACCAUACCUCUCUGUGGCCAUCACCUGAACCACUUCUUCUGUGAGAUGCUUGUUCUCCUGAAGCUGGCUUGUGAGGACACAGUGGGAACAGAGGCCAACUUGUUUGUGGCUGGAGCGAUUAUUUUGGUCUGUCCUGUAGCACUAAUUCUAGGCACCUAUGCACACAUUGCUCAUGCAGUGUUGAAGAUCAAGUCAAGAUCUGGGCGCAGAAAGGCUCUGGGGACUUGUGGGUCCCACCUUACUGUGGUUUUUCUUUUUUAUGGCUCAGCCAUGUACAUGUAUCUCCAACCUGUCCACGUGUAUUCCGGGAGUGAAGGAAAGUUUGCUGCCCUCUUUUAUACUAUCAUUACUCCAAUGAUGAACCCUGAUUUAUACCCUAAGAAACAAGAAUGUGAAGGGGGCUUUGUGCAAGGUACUAGGGAGAGAUACAAGCACAACAUAGGAAGGGAACAGAACUUUAUACAAAUAUUGUCUAAUAUUUCUCGUAUGACAAAACUCAUCUUUCCUAUAGAGACCUAUUAUUCUCCAGAAGAUAUUCCUCAGUAGGCAUCAUAAUUGUACUUCUUACUUAUCUAAAAAUUAAAACUGGUGGUCUAAAACACUUCUAGAUCCUCACGAAAUAGGUAUUAAGGGUUGCUUUGUGUCAUAACUUCUCCAAGGAAUGAGUCUGGGAGAGAGGUAUAGCGAUUCUCCAUAGGAGAAUGGACAUGGACUCUAAGUAUAAUUGAGAGUGAGAGAAUGUAGGUGGUUGGUCUGGUGCUGCUUGUAUUCAAAUGUCAAAUUCUGUAUCGCAACACAUGAUUGCUCCAAGAUGAGCAGAUCUUCAUGUAUACCAGCUUUUGUUGUAAACCUUGCCCCCCAAGUUAUCCAUGAUUGGUUAAUAAAGAUGCCUACAACCUGGAGUCGGCAGAAGAGAGAGGGCAGAGCAAACGUUCCUGGGCUUGGAAUCUCAGGCAGAGAUCAUAAGAAGGAGAGAAGAGGAAGAAGAAGUUGCUUUGUGUAGGUAGAUCAUGAGUGUGUGGCCAUUAGGGCCAGGCUAUUGGAGUAGGAGCAGCACAGGUGGAACAUGG
rnacentral:lncRNA from 1 species